UUGAUACUAUUAGGCUUGAGUUAAGAAGAGGUAGGCAGAAUUUAUGGUGUAGUAGUGAAAUGCUUAGAUAUCAUAAGGAAUACCAAUAGCGUAGGCAGCUUACUGGUCUUUAACUGACGCUGAGGCACGAAAGCGUGGGGAGCAAACAGGAUUAGAUACCCUGGUAGUCCACGCCGUAAACGAUGAUCACUCGAUAUACAUGAUACUUCGUGUGUGUCUAAGCGAAAGCGUUAAGUGAUCCACCUGGGGAGUAUACUCGCAAGGGUGAAACUCAAAGGAAUUGACGGGGGUCCGCACAAGCGGUGGAGUAUGUGGUUUAAUUCGAUAAUACGCGAGGAACCUUACCUGGGCUAGAAUGUGUUUUGCUACCCCAAGAAAUUGGGGGUUCCCUCGGGACGGAAUACAAGGUGCUGCAUGGCUGUCGCCAGCUCGUGCCGUGAGGUGUUGGGUUAAGUCCUAUAACGAGCGAAACCCUUUUACUUAAUUGCCAGCACGUAAUGGUGGGGACUUUAAGUAGACUGCCCGUGUAAGCGGGAGGAAGGAGAGGACGAGGUCAAGUCAUCAUGGCCUUUAUGCCCAGGGCUACACACGUACUACAAUGGCAUGUACAAAGGGAAGCUACUUGGUAACAAGAUGCAAAUCUUAAAAGCAUGUCUCAGUUCGGAUUGAGGUCUGCAAUUCGACCUCAUGAAGUUGGAAUCGCUAGUAAUCGCGUAUCAGCAAUGACGCGGUUGAAUACGUUCUCGGACCUUGUACACACCGCCCAUCAAGCCAUG
rnacentral:rRNA from 1 species